rnacentral:rRNA from 1 species
AUUGAACGCUGGCGGCAUGCCUUACACAUGCAAGUCGAACGGCAGCACGGGAGCAAUCCUGGUGGCGAGUGGCGAACGGGUGAGUAAAGUAUCGGAACGUGCCCAGUCGUGGGGGAUAACGUAGCGAAAGUUACGCUAAUACCGCAUACGAUCUAUGGAUGAAAGCGGGGGAUCGCCAGACCUCGCGCGCUUGGAGCGGCCGAUAUCAGAUUAGGUAGUUGGUGGGGUAAAGGCUAACCAAGCCGACGAUCUGUAGCUGGUCUGAGAGGACGACCAGCCACACUGGGACUGAGACACGGCCCAGACUCCUACGGGAGGCAGCAGUGGGGAAUUUUGGACAAUGGGCGAAAGCCUGAUCCAGCCAUGCCGCGUGCAGGAUGAAGGCCUUCGGGUUGUAAACUGCUUUUGUACGGAACGAAAAGGUUUGGCCUAAUAAGCUGAGCUCAUGACGGUACCGUAAGAAUAAGCACCGGCUAACUACGUGCCAGCAGCCGCAGUAA